AACUGUUCAACUGUUGGAUUUGAUUGGAUUUAAUCCAAAACACGCGUGAUAAGACUUUCUGCCAAAGAAAUGCGUGCCUUCACCAAACUUAAUGAAGACUUUUCUUCUUCCUGCCAAGUUGCGUUUCCAUCAUCAAAGGAAAUGAAAUUAUGAAACUUUUCUUCUUCCUGCCAAGAAACCAAAACCAUUUCUCAAAAAUCUUACAAAACCCACAAAUCCCUAGAAUCCAAUCCAGGAAUCGUCCUUGAAACUGGGUUUUUCUCCCACAAAACCAGUUCCUUUCCCGACCCAAAUAUUCCUUCUUUCUUUAAUUUCAGAUGGAUCUUCACAAAAAUUCAACAACUAUCGUUCUGGUUUGUUUCUGUGAUUCUCUCCACGUUGUUUUCCAACACGUCGACAAACUUCGUGUUCUCCGUGGGUUGGGUCUGAUUCUACAUCUCAAAAUCCUUAUACCUGCCCCGCCCUGACCUGUUGCAUUUUAAAGCGGUCCAGUCCGGUCCCUUCAAAUUUGGGCCUGACCCGGCCCGGCCCGUGCCCGUAGGAGAGUACAUCCCAUAUAUCGAACAUUUUAUUCUCUAAUCUUUUGAUUAAAUAAUUGGCUAUCAACAGGAGGACAAGAGACAUGUUAUUGUUACCUCCCCCAAAUGACUAUCUACUAAAACACAGGACAAAAGCACUGUUCAUUAACAGUGUUUUGACGCUUUUGGCCCUGCUUUGUCUUCCCGCACACUAUCUUUUUUCCAAACUCUACAGGGAAAUGACGGAACUGUCCAUGAAGGACACGCGUGGAUCGUCUAAUUGAAAACCUGUCUACAAGCUGUGCUGUCGUUCUCUCUCUUCGACAACACUCUUCUUCUCUGACGAAAAAUCUGACCAGAGGCUCAGAAACCUCUCGCUCAAUUUUCUCGAACUCUCAGCAAACUUCAUCCCAUCAAACUUCAAUUCGUAUUAUUGAAGAAAUGAAUAAUAAAUUUUCUCUCAGAAAUUCAAGAAAUGAAGAUUCUGGGUCUGUCUUUGUCUGUAGUGGAGACCCAAUCUGAAUUGUGUGUUCUUCAAGGUCGAUCUCGGCCGAGGGAUUUAGAUCUCUUUAUUUUUCCAGAUUUUCGAAUUAUUCCUUUAGAAUUAGGGAAUUAAAUUGUUCCUAUUAUUCGGUAAAAAUCUAAAAUAACUUGCAGCUUUGAUUCGGCCUUUGCAUGUUUGGUUUGUGGUAUUUGAAAUUAUGGUUUGUUAUGGGGAUUAGAUUUUGGGAUUUAAGUUGAAUUCGUAUGGGUAUUUUUUCAGAAAUUUCUGUUGUUUCUGUGUUGGAAUUAAAACAACUAUGCAUGCUGGAUUUUCACAUAAGUGUCUCUGCUGUUUUUUUUUUUUUUUUUUUUUGAGUGUUUAUAUUGACAAUUAUCAACAAUUGAACAAGAGGAACAGGCGCUGAACAGGCAAAGAAGAGCCGGUAGGUGACAAUUACCAACAAUGAAGAAGACUGCAAUACCACCAACUCAACAGACAGAGGUUGCACCUCUCAACUUGAGUGGCAAAUGAAGAGCUAGAAGGAACAGGCGCUGAUUCCCAAAGCCUCUAUGCAAGGGGAUUUGAUUUCAUUGACUUUAUGGGCAUUUGUAUCAAUGGUCAAUAAAUUUAAAAAGCCAUUGACUGCAGGAUCUGAGUAACCUUGAUGCGCUGCUCAGGUCAGCUAUGGCUUUUGGAUGGUUAAGGAAUAAGUCGUAAACCUCAGAUUUUUAUUUUCUCUCCUCUUUCCUCUUUAUUUUUUCUUGGUACAAGUUUUUAUUUAUUUUAUUUUGAAAUGUUACUGGCUGAGGGCUAUUUUUGUUGGUUUGGGUAAAGUACUUUUGUGUGUUUUUGUUAUCCCCCUCGAGUGUACCGAUGUACCCAAAACCCGCUUCAAGAUCAAGGUUCUUCUUUCUGUUCUA